GCGGGUUUAGCUCAGUUGGGAGAGCAUUCGACUGAAGUCAAACUUCAAUCCAUAAAUCGAAAGGUCAUGUGUUCGAUCCACAUAAACCGCA